CCUACGGGUGGCAGCAGUGGGGAAUAUUGGGCAAUGGGCGCAAGCCUGACCCAGCAACGCCGCGUGAAGGAAGAAGGCUUUCGGGUUGUAAACUUCUUUUCUCAGGGACGAAGCAAGUGACGGUACCUGAGGAAUAAGCCACGGCUAACUAGGUGCCAGCAGCAGUGGUAAUACGUAGGUGGCAAGCGUUAUGCGGAUUUACUGGGUGUAAGGGGCGUGUAGGCGGGACUGCAAGUCAGAUGUGAAAACCAUGGGCUCAACCUAUGGCCUGCAUUUGGAACUGUAGUUCUUGAGUACUGGGGAGGCAGACGGAAUUCCUGGUGUAGCGGUGAAAUGCGUAGAUAUUAGGAGGAACCCCAGUGGCGAAGGCGGUCUGCUGGACAGCAACUGACGCUGAGGCGCGAAGGCGUGGGGAGCGAACAGGAUUAGAUACCCCAGUAGUC
rnacentral:rRNA from 1 species